rnacentral:rRNA from 1 species
GCUAAUCAAACUUGGAGAUAGCUCGUACUCCCCGAAAUGCAUUUAGGUGCAGCCUGUGGAGUUUCUUACGUGAGGUAGAGCGACUGAUUGGAUGCGAGGCUUUCACCGGCUAUCAAGUCCAGACAAACUCCGAAUGCACGUUAAGUAAGAUCCACGGAGUGAGGGCAUGGGUGCUAAGGUCCAUGUCCGAGAGGAGAAGAAUCCAGACCAUCGGCUAAGGUCCCGAAAUAAUAGCUAAGUUGACCAAACGAAGUCAGAGUGCGAAGACAGCUAGGAUGUUGGCUUGGAAGCAGCCAUUCAUUUAAAGAGUGCGUAACAGCUCACUAGUCGAGUGCUUUGGCGUGGAUAAUAAUCGGGCAUAAGCUAUUUACCGAAGCUGUGGGAUGUGUAAACAUCGGUAGGGGAGCAUUCUAGCGGCACUGAAGGUGAGAGGACAACUCUUGCUGGAGCUUCUAGAAAAGCAAAUGUAGGUAUAAGUAACGAUAAAGGAGGUGAGAAACCUCCUCGCCGAAAGACUAAGGUUUCCUGAUCAACGCUAAUCGGAUCAGGGUUAGUCGGGGCCUAAGGGGAAGCCGAACGGCGCACCCGAUGGAAGAACCGGUUAAUAUUCCGGUACUAAUUAUGUGAGCGAUGUGGAGACGGAGAUGUGACGGUCCUGCCAACUGACGGAAUAGUUGGUUGAAGGGUGUAGGAGUUGAUCUGAGUAGGCAAAUCCGCUCGGAGAUCCGAACCUGACAGUACUCUGAGUGCUUGCACAAGGAGAUAUGGACAACUGUAACGGUGCUCCCAAGAAAAUCCGCUAAGCAUAUUGCAUGAUUACCCGUACCAUAAACCGACACAGGUGGUUGGGUUGAGUAUACUAAGGCGCUCGAGUGAUUCGCGGUUAAGGAACUAGGCAAAAUAGUCCUGUAACUUCGGAAUAAAGGACGCUCACAGUGAAGGCUGUGAGCCGCAGAGAAUAGGCCCAGGCGACUGUUUAACAAAAACACAUGGCUAUGCUAAAUCGAAAGAUACUGUAUAUAGCCUGACACCUGCCCGGUGCUGGAAGGUUAAGAGGAGAUGUCAUCGCAAGAGAAGCAUUGAAUUGAAGCCCCAGUAAACGGCGGCCGUAACUAUAACGGUCCUAAGGUAGCGAAAUUCCUUGUCGGGUAAGUUCCGACCUGCACGAAUGGUGUAAUGAUCCGGACGCUGUCUCAACCAUGAUCUCAGUGAAAUUGUAGUAUCGGUGAAGAUGCCGAUUACCCGCGAUGGGACGAAAAGACCCCGUGAACCUUUACUACAGCUUAGCAUUGACCUUGGUCAUCCGAUGUGUAGGAUAGGCCGGAGGCUUUGAAUCAUGCACGCCAGUGUGUGUGGAGCCAUCCUUGAAAUACGGCCCUUUGGCUGUCUGAGGUCUAACACGUAAUUUCGUGGACAUUGUUUGGUGGGUAGUUUGACUGGGGUGGUCGCCUCCAAAAGCGUAACGGAGGCUUCCA